GUCUCUGUGGCGCAAUCGGUUAGUGCUUUUGGCUGUUAACCUGAAAGGUUGGUGGUUCGAGACCACCCAGGGACG